rnacentral:misc_RNA from 1 species
UCCGGAGGAUCCAAGCGUUAUCCGGAACCACGGGGUUGAAAGGGUCCGUAGGUGGAUAGUUAAGUCAGAGGUGAAAUCCUGCAGCACAACUGUAGAAUUGCCUUUGAUACUGGCUAUCUUGAAUCAAUGUGAAGUGGUUAGAAUAUGUAGUGUAGCGGUGAAAUGCAUAGAUAUUACAUAGAAUACCAAUUGCGAAGGCAGAUCACUAACAUUGCAUUGACACUGAUGGACGAAAGCGUGGGGAGCGAACAGG